rnacentral:lncRNA from 1 species
GGUGCGCGGUGAUUCCUGGUGUUCUUGCGUGGGCUUGGUUCUUGGCUUUCUCCCGCUGGUGUUCUUCCUGGCGUUCUUCCGCUGGUGUUCUGUUGGUGUUCUCCCUGAUGUGUCGUCUCUCUUUCUUCUUGAGUUCCUGAUGGAUGAAGACUUUUGGUUGGUGUUCUACCUUUCUUCUUCCUUCUCGAUUUCACAGAUGCCCUGUGCUGAUGACCGAACGCUUCUUCAGUUGGUAAAGAGGUAUUCAUCUUGAUUUUUUUUGUCGAGGAUUGAGAAAGGUAUUUUCUCCUCAGGUAUUCUCUUACCUUUG